rnacentral:rRNA from 1 species
UACGAACCGUACAAACGUUAUUCGGAAUUACUGGGCUUAAAGGGUGCGUAGGCGGCCAUGUAAGUGAGGUGUGAAAUCCCUCGGCUCAACCGAGGAACUGCGCUUCAUACUGCAUGGCUUGAGGGAGACAGGGGUAAGCGGAACUGAUGGUGGAGCGGUGAAAUGCGUUGAUAUCAGCAGGAACACCGGUGGCGAAAGCGGCUUACUGGGUCUCUUCUGACGCUGAGGUACGAAAGCUAGGGGAGCGAACGGG